GCAUCAAUGGGGUAGUGGUAACCUGGGUCGUUGCCAUAUGUGUGGUCGAUAAUGUGUUUUCGACCCGCCGGGGGUUCAAUUCCCCCUUGAUGCA
rnacentral:tRNA from 1 species